CCCCAUUCUAACUGGCGGCCGUCUUGGCAGGAACCAAUAUUCUUCUUCUGGAGACAUACAAAUGCAUUCAGAUCCUGAUUGUUUCUGUCCCAGCUGACAAUGGCCUUUUAAUUUUGUUAGAGUAUCUGAAACAAAAGAAAAAAGGAGAAAAGAACAGUGCACAGCAUGGAUUCUAAGUGAUAAGCUUGAAUUCAGAGAAGAGGCAGUGGUAAAGGAUUCAUAUUUAUCUCUUGGAGUUAGAUCAUUCAUUUUGGCUUCUCUAAAUACAUUGUCAUUAAAUAUUCCACCUGAAAGGUCCUUUCCAGUGCACAUGAGGUGUCAUUUUCCAACCUAAAAUUGCGAUUAUGUUCAGAUAACUAAAGAAAAUGGAACUGUUGAAAUUUUUGUUCAUUUGUUUUUCAAAUAUUUAUUGAGUAUACAUGAUAUUCUCAUCACUCUGUAAGGUUCUGGAGAGAGUAGAUUGAGCAUAAACUGACCCAGAUCCUGUGCUCACCAAGCUUAUAGUCUUGUGGGUGCAGACAGACAUUAAUCAAAUGAGCACACUAAUAUAAAUAUAGAAUUGUUGCCUUUCUUAGGGCUAUCAAAGAGAAGCAUAUAAUAAAAAAUUGAUGUAGCUAGAAAGAUUAGAAAAAGUAAAAUGAAGAAAGGUGAGGCUGUUCAAUACAGAGGAAACAUAAGGUAUGGAAAAGUUCAAAUGGGAGGCAGUGGUCGGGCAUAGUGGCUCACGCUUGUAAUCCCAGCAUUUUGGGAGGCUGAGGCAGGCAGAUCACAAGGUCAGGAGUUCGAGAACAGCCUGGUCAAUAUGGCGAAACCCCAUCUGUACUAAAAAUACCAAAAUUAGCAGGGCAUGGUGGCAUGCACCUGUAGUCCCAGCUACUCAGGAGGCUGAGGCAAAAGAGUCACUUGAACCCGGGAGGCAGAGGUUGCAGUGAGCCGAGAUUGUGCCACUGCACCCAGCCUGGGCAACAGAGUAAGACUCUGUCUAAAAAAAAAAAAAAAAGGCAGGCAGCAUGUGAGUUUCCUGGAACUGAAAGAACCCAGUGUGGUUGAAGUGCUGAAAAACAAGAGGAUGGAACAAGAUGUGGCCAGAGAGGUAGGUGUCUGGUAGGCUGUGUGGGAGGCUAAUAGGGUCUUUGAAGGGUUUUGUCUUCAUUUUAUAAAUAGUAGACAGUCUCUGAUAGGUUUUAAGCAGGGAGUGGUGUAACAAAAUCAGCCCUCGAUUUUGAAAAAAAGAAAUUAAUUAUGGCUUCUGUGCAGAGAAUGGAUUUGAAGAGGCAUGGUGGUCAAUAGGGCUCCAGGGAGCUAAUCUAUGAGGUUAUUGUGGUAGUUCAGGUGAAAGAGGAUGAUAAUUUGGACCAAGGUUCCAGAGGUGGAAAUGGAGAAAAGUGGAUAAACUUGAGACACAGCUAGCAGGUAAAACAAGUGAUAUUACCUAUUAUGUAAGUUAUGAGAGCUGUCAAUUAUAUGAUUCUUCGGUUUCUGAUUUGCAUAAAAGAAUAUACAUUAGUGCCUUACCUGAAAUAGAAAAUAUUAGAAAAUGCUUAGUUUUAGGAAGGAAGGGUGAUGAAUUAAGAGUUCCCUACUGUAGAUGUUGAAUUUAUGGUAUCUUUAAGACAUCCAAACAACGUAGAUAUAUAGGAAUUUAGAUAUUCAUGUCUAAAUCUCAGUGGCGAAGUCUGUGCUAAAGAUUUAAAUCUGUUAUUUGUCUAUGGGGGAAUCACUGAAGCUAUGCAUGUGGAUGAGAUUCUUCAGUAGGAGAGUGCAGUGUGAGGCGAGGGGACAGAUCCAAAACUUGGGAAACUCCAGUGAUUAAUGUCCAAGCACUGGCAGGAGCCUACCAAAAAUAGAGGGCAACAGCCAGAAAUGUCGGAGCUAAACAAGAAUAUGAAGCCAAGGAAAGAACAUAUGUGCAGAAGGUCAACAUUGCUGAAGGCUGCCGAAAGGCCACAGAAGAUAAGGAAAAAAAAAAAAAGUCCAUUAGAUUUAGCAAUAUGGAUGUGAAUGGCUUGAAAUUCAGAUUUUCUUACAAGAAUCAGUGGAGAAAUGCAGCUCCUAAAUGUAGCUAUUAAUCCCUGCAUGGCAUUCUAGGCACUAGGACAUUAUGGUGGGAAAAAAAAAAGAAAGGAAGGAUGGAAGGAAGAAGGUGGAGGAGAGGAGAGGAAAGGAGAGGAAAAAAGAAAGAGAAAACAGAUGUUAAUCAAGUAAUUAUAAUAACGGAUUUAUAAUAAAGGGCUGAGACAAGUAUUCUGAAGAAAGGGAACAUGGUUUCAGGAGACCACAUACCAUAAAGACUCCAACUGGGAAGAUUAGGGAAGGAUUCAUAAGGAAAUUACACUUGAACCAAGAUGAGGAACUGAAUAGCAUGUCGGUGAGGGAGGGGGAUGAAAAUAGAGGGAGUGACACUGGGGGUGUAUUUAUGAAAGAGGGAACCUUGGUUUCUUUGCUCAUGUUGAGGCCCACCUAGAGAACCUGGACCUGAAGCCGAACUCCUCAGUCUAUUGAAUGAAACACAUUUUCUUGAUCUGGAUCUGACUAUUCAGGCAUCCCAAGAACCAAAAUGACCUCGUGAGCAAGUUAAUUGUCAAGGCAGGACUGGAGGCUCAGCUCACUCUUCCUCCUCUUAGCUUAUCAAGUAGAAGGUUUGAUAAGGAAAGGUGGCUCACGUAAGAAGCAAAAAUAAAGAUGUAAAAAAUUCCUAGGUUUCUUAUUCACAGUUGUUUUCCUUUCCUUCUAUUACCACCAUUUUAUCUGGUGAAACUUGGCCCGGAACUCUCCUGAACUUGGAGACCUAUCCUUCCGAGCUACAAAUGAAGACUUAGGAGUGUUCAUCAAAUAAGGAGUUGCAAGAAGAACACAGAAACCAGAUUUAUUGUAUACAUGAAAAAAUAAAAAGUACUACUCAAGGAAAGUUUGAGCAUUUUUAUUCACUAAGUUCCAUUUCCUGGUGUUUCAUGCAUGCUAGGAAUUCUAAAUACUGUACUGUUGAAUGCUUGUUUGAAUAGCAAACGCAUUAGACAUGCAAUUUAACAUUUAAAAAAAGGUACAUUGUGCAUGAAUACUAAAGAAAGGCAUUUCUUUCAUUGUCUGAGAAGAAAAUGGAAAAUAAAUUGUGUGAUGUGCAAUUUGGGCUGCUAGAGAACUACUUUAGAUCUCUUACCUGGAAUAAUUUUUACUCUUACCUCA
rnacentral:lncRNA from 1 species